CUUAUGUUAAUCUGUGCUGGUUUGAAAAAUAAAAAAUAUAAACCAUCAACACUAUAGUAAACAAAACAAAGUUUUUAAAAAUGUUCUGGACAACUUAAAGUUUAUUGCAUUUUUGGCUUUUAAUACAGUAAAUAAUCAUAACUCACAUAAUCAAAACAGCUUCCUCUAUAUGCACUCGCCACACUAUUCAGAAACCUGCAACAUUUGCUUACCAGAGGCAACAUCACAAGUGAGGAUCCUCUUUCAAAUAGCUUCCAACAAUGCAAUCUUAAGCAGAGUUACAUCCUUCUAUGUCCAUUGACAUCAACAGACUUAGAACUCUGCUUAAGGUUACAUUGCACCUCUGUGGAAAAAUAGUCUCUGCCUGUCACCUAACCAAUCACUGCACGUCUGUAAAUCUGGAUAUAGAGUUAGACUUUAUAAUAAUAACAACAUCUGUAUACAGUAAGGGUUAUAUAGUCAUUCUGAACAAAAUUAGCUAUCAUUUAAAAAAAUAUCAAUAUUCUUUAUUACUAUGUUUCUUUCACUAAUCAGAACCAGUUGAUAAAAGUAAUAGCUUCCAACUUUCAUUUUUAUCUCCACUGACUGAAGAUAUUCAGGGACUGAAACAAGCUUCUGUGCUCUUUCAGAUCUUAGAAUAUUUCUUGAUUUGAUGUAAAUAUUUUCAGAUGUCGACCAGUUUCUUUAUUAUGCUGCAGAAGAAAGAACUGACAGCAGGAAUUUGGAGUCAAUUUCUAAACAAUUCGUUUUUGAUCAAAAAGACAUUUGAAGAGGGACCGGAAAUGAAAUUGUGCAAAAUUUCCGAAUUUCAUGUUGUGGAUGCUCAGAGGCAGGCAAUGUCUUACCAAGCCUUCGUAUCUUCGUGCUAGAGCGUCGAUCUGGGGAGUAUAACAUAAGACAACUGCAAAGGCUAAAGUUACAAAAGGGUGCCUUGAUUUCUCUUCAAAAAGAAAUUAAAGAGAAACCUUGCACUUGAAUGAGGAAAAAAGAGAAUAAGAGGCAUCAAUGGCUAUCUCUAGAAAACUGAAUUUCAAAAAAAGAAAUCCCCCCCUGCCCCAUAACAAUCCCCAUUCCAACCAAUCUGAAGUGAUCUGUUCACCAUGUCAAUGACUAGCCUGGGAAUGCAACAUAAAUUCUGAAGUGAAAUUACAUGUUUUGCAACUGCUUAUCUUCUUUUCACGUAAAGGUAAUUCACACCUGUUUUAUGCCAGGCUUUGUCACCUAUCUCAUUCUGCAUUAGUCAUGUGUGACAACAGCCAUUUGGUCCAUGGACAGUACAGUCCUAAGGGCUGCCUUCCCACCAGCCCCUGCACACCUGCAUAUGUGCUGCGCCACUUGUCCCCUCCCUAAGGAUUUUUAUGGGAGAGCUACACCAGCGGCUGAGCCCACAAGGCUUGGCAAGACUGCAGCAGGGAGUGCACACCCAGUUGUUUCCCUGACAACCCUGCCAGCAUCCUCCAAUGGCAGUGCCACCCCCUUGACAGGCCUGCAAGUGGCAAGCAAGGUACAUCCAAAGUGGAGGCAGCAAUCUCUGCCACGUAUCGACUGCUCCAUCCCCCCUGCCAGAGAGCAGGCAGCCAGGGACCACAGGCCACCAUGAUCAUAGUACCUGUAUCAAGGUGCCAGCUCAGGGAAAGCCAUCCAUGAGGGGGGCCCACAUGCCAGCGAAGCGGGCCCUUGUGCUCCCAUCAAGCUUAGAUGGGCAAUCGAGGUCCAGCCCCCUCAUGGGUGCCCCCCAGUGCUGCCCGUUGUUGCAAUCCCCUUCCCCCACAGAGACCAGGUGAUUGGGGUGGAAAGACACCCUAUGAAUAUGCUCACUGUGACCCCACAGAAACACCUAUCCCAAGAAGGGCUGUGCACCCAGGCAGAGGCAGUUGUUUGUCUGAGUGGCGGGUGGGGCGCAUGCCCACCCCCCAGCAUUUGGUAAGAGUCAGGCCAGCAGCCAAGGCACCAUGCACCUAGACAGCUCAGCCUCGCCACCGCACCUGGACACAAUCACAUACCCCCUCCAUGAAAGGUACAGCCUACUUUGUGGGAGGCAUGGGGCAACCGCUCCAUCUCCAGGGAAGGAUCCUCCAAGGGCAUCCCAGUCAGGACAGCUCCAGAGCACACUGCUGGAGUGGCCAGUAGACGCCACCCCCUGGUGGACGAGGGGACUGCAAUCUGCCCAAGGGCAUGCCACACUCACCAGCAGGGGCCUCCUGGCAGGCCUGCCACAUCACCUGGAUAACCCUCGCAGUGCACCCCAAGCCACCCCUGCAGGUGGGGAGGUGGGAGGAGGGCUGGUGGCAGGCCACAAGGUGCAGCCAUGAGUCAAAGUUAUAAGUCAAAGCCGCUGCUACAGUAGUCUUAUGAUUGCACUGUUCAACAGGUGCAGGUGCCGAUAAACAAUCCAGGUAAGUAAAUGUCCAGUAGGUAAGUAGAAUAUAAGUGAAACCAAGUUACUGGAGAAGAAAUUAAUGUCGCCUUUCUUUUUAACAGGUGGUUUGGAAGAAAUCAGGUCACCCAAAGGGGACGCAGCCCGCCUGCCCAACAAUCAGGGCUGGCUUGAAUACCUGAUGUUUCGUAAAGAACCUCCCUGGGGCGGAUGCAAAUUCCACCAAUCAAUCAUAAAGUGCUAUUCACAGAGCCAUAAGGCAAACAGUCAAAUAAUCAAGCAGCAAACAGUCAAGGAUCACAAGCCUCUUCUCCAGUAACUUGAUUUUGCUUAUAUUCUACUUACCUACUACACAUUUACUUAUCUGGAUUGUUCAUUGGCAUCUGCACCUGUUGAUCAAUACAACCAUAAGGACUGAGAAUAUUGUAGCAGCGGCUUUGACUUAUGAUUUAGGAUAUGUUUGCCUAUUGGAUUUUUCAUAUGAACAUGAAUGUUAUUCUAUAAUCUAUAAUUGAUUCUUUACUUUGGAUUGCUUGUUAACUGAAUAAUUAAUAGCAUUCUCUCA